CCUACGGGGGGCUGCAGUGGGGAAUAUUGCACAAUGGGGGAAACCCUGAUGCAGCGACGCCGCGUGAGCGAAGAAGUAUUUCGGUAUGUAAAGCUCUAUCAGCAGGGAAGAAAAUGACGGUACCUGACUAAGAGGCUCCGGCUAAAUACGUGCCAGCAGCCGCGGGAAUACGUAUGGAGCAAGCGUUAUCCGGAUUUACUGGGUGUAAAGGGAGCGUGGGCGGGAAGGCAAGUCUGAUGUGAAAGGCCAGGGCUCCACCCUGGGACUGCAUUGGAAACUGUUUAUCUGGAGUGUCGGAGAGUCAACUGCAAUUCCUCGUGUAGCGGUGAAAUGCGUAGAUAUUAGGCGGAACCCCAGUGGCGAAGGCGGCUUGCUGGCCGAUGACUGACGCUGAGGCUCGAAAGCGUGGGGAGCAAACAGGAUUAGAUACCCUAGUAGUC
rnacentral:rRNA from 1 species